UUAUUCUUUAUUCUUAAUAUUGUUUUUAAUUCUUAUAGUCUGGUAACAUCGAAUUCAACAACUAAAUUAUUGUACCUAUUCCUUUGAACAUGGCAAUACCGAAUUCAGCAACUAAAUUAUAUUAUCCCGUUAUCCCCGUAAAUAAAUAAUUCUAAUGUUUACGAUAAAUCACCCGUAGCGAAACAUUAAAUUUGACUUGAUAACAAAAGUGUAUAAAAAAUUCAAAAUUCUAGUCUUAUCAUACUUAUAAUUAUCUGUUUUGCUUUUAUAAGUUCUUGAAUCAAAAAUUGUCAGAAUGAGUGAUGGGAAAAAGCAACUUAGUGGGGCCGAGUACAGAAAAAGAGCAGAAAUUAAAAAAGAAGAACAGAAAGAAGUCAUCCGACAAACAGUAAAAAUUGAAAAAAUUCCCGCGAUAUGGAUAACUGACGAUAACUUGAGGGAGAUGACCACAAGGUACGGCUUUGAUCAAAACAAAUCUUGUGCUUUCUCUAAAAGUGGGAGAAUAUAUGCUGAUCAGCGUCGUUUUUUGCCAAUUAGUAUCUUCCAAAGAAAAAUGAAAAAUAAUGAAAAUAUCGAACUUGGUUAGUUAAUUCUGGAAGUAACAUAUCUGUAUAUUGUGGACCGUGUUUGGCAUUUGGUCCAUUGGAGUCUAGAACUCUAUUUGAGAACGGAGGAUUCAAAGACUGAAUGCAGAUCACCGAGUAGCUUAGCAUGAAAACUCUGCGCGUCAUAAAUCGAGUAUUCUUAGUUUGAAAGAUAGAAAUAAGAUUGAUGACCGACUUGAUAAUUUAUUGCAUAUAUAUUUGGCCUUUUACGUGUAUUGUUCUGCUCAUUCUUUCAAUCUAGUAACAACUACCGCUGCUGAAUCGACUACAGAAGUUUGUCGCUUUUUCAUAUUGUUACAGGAAAUCUACGAUUUUUUGUAAGCUCGACACAACGCUGGCAAAAAUUAAUGAAUCAAAUCGGAAAAGGCAAAAAACGUUAAAAGUGUAAAUUUGACACGCUGGGCAGCUAGAGAGGAUGCAUGCAAAAGUUUGAAAGAAUCUUGGCAUGAAAUUAUUGUAAUAUGAAUUAAUCAAGGAUGAUUGUACCGAAAAGCCUGUGACACGACAAAAAGCGGCAGGGAUAUUUUCGAACUUGUAAAAACUGCAAACGGUAGUAAUGGUUGUUGUAUGGAAUGUUUUUCUGGAGAGAAUAAACAAAGUGAAUGUUCAAAUUCAAACUUCUAAUAUAGAUUUGAUCACUGUUGCUGAUCUUUACGAAUCACUCCGUAAGUUCUUCAUAGCUGAACGAGAGAAUUUUAAUUUUUUUGAAGAAAAGGCAAUGGAAUUGAGUGUAUCAAAACAAUAUACAAAAGAGAUGGGAAAACGACAGCCAAAAAGAAAAACAAGAUUUCAAGAAAUUCCCGAAGAAGAUAUUCAAAUGGCUGCAAGUGAUUACUUCAGAGUUAACACGUUUCUCGUUCUCAUAGAUAGAUUCAUAUCCGAAUUAGCAAAGCAGCAAGAUAUAUAACGGACUUAACGAGAAAUUUUCAUUUCUUACUAAAAUUAAUGAGUUGUCACCAUCAAGUCUGACAGAAAAAGCCAGUCUUUUGGAAGAAACGUACCCUAAUGAUUUAGAAACAUACUUAGCUCAAGAAUGCGUACACUUUCAAGCCUCUG